CACGUAGGGGGCAAGCGUUGUCCGGAUUUAUUGGGCGUAAAGAGCGUGUAGGCGGCCAGACAGGUCCGUUGUGAAAACUCGAGGCUCAACCUCGAGACGUCGACGGAAACCGUCUGGCUAGAGUCCGGAAGAGGAGUGUGGAAUUCCUGGUGUAGCGGUGAAAUGCGCAGAUAUCAGGAAGAACACCUAUGGCGAAGGCAGCACUCUGGGACGGUACUGACGCUGAGACGCGAAAGCGUGGGGAGCGAACAGG
rnacentral:rRNA from 1 species